AUGGAGGGGGCAUGGGAGUUUGCCCAACCAAUCCACAUGUGUUUUGUGGAUUUGGAGAAGGCUUAUGACCGUGUCCCCAGGGGCACCCUGUGGGGGACGCCCCAGGAGUAUGGGGUGGGUGGCUUUCUUUUAAGGGCCAGUCAAUCCCUUUGCCAGAGGAGUGUGAGUUUGGUCCGCAUAGCCGGUAGUAAGUCGGACCUGUUCCCGGUGAGGGUUGGACUCUGCCAGGGCUGCCCUUUGUCACCGGCUCUGUUCAUAACCUUUAUGGACAGAAUUUCUAGGUGCAGCCGUGGUGUGGAAUGUGUCGAGUUUUAUGGCAGGAGAAUCUCAUCUCUGCUUUUUGCGGAUGAUGUGGUCCUCCUAGCUUCAUCCAGCUCUGACCUUCAGCUCUUGCUGGGUAGGUUCGCGGCCGAAUGUGAAGCGGCUGGGAUGAGGAUCAGCACCUCCAAAUCUGAGACCAUGGUUCUCGACCGGAAAAGGGUGGCUUGCCACCUCCGGGUCGGGGGAGAGGUCCUACCUCAAGUGGAGGAGUUUAAGUAUCUCGGGGUCUUGUUCACGAGUGAGGGUAGGAGGGAUCGGGAGAUCGACAGGCGGAUUGGUUCGGCGUCUGCAGUGAUGCGGACGCUGAGCCGAUCUGUCGUGGGGAAGAGGGAGCUGAGCCAGAAAGCCAGGCUCUCGAUUUACCGGUCGAUCUACGUCCCAAUCCUCACCUAUGGUCAUGAGCUUUGGGUAAUGACCGAAAGAACGAGAUCGCGGAUACAAGCGGCCGAAAUGAGUUUCCUCCGUAGGGUGGCCGGGCUCAGCCUUAGAGAUAGGGUGAGGAGCUCGGACAUUCGGGAGGGACUCGGAGUAGAACCGCUGCUCCUCCGGAUCGAAAGGAGUCAGUUGAGGUGGUUUGGGCAUCUGGUCAGGAUGCCUCCCGGACGCCUCCCUGGGGAGGUGUUUCGGGCAUGUCCUGCUGGCAGGAGGCCCCCGGUUGACCCAGGACACGUUGGAGAGGUUACAUCUCCAAUCUGGUCCGGGAAGGCCUUGGGGUCCUGCCGGAGGAACUGGUGGAGGUGGCUGGGGAGAGGAAGGUCUGGAGCUCCCUAG
rnacentral:lncRNA from 1 species